AUACCUGGUGGCGACCGGCGCAAGGGUGCGUAACGCGUGAGCAACAUGCCCGUAUCAGGGGAAUAAUCCAGGGAAACUUGGUCCAAUACCCCAUAGUAAAUAUUAAAGGCAUCUUUAAUAUNNNNAAGCUUUGGUGGAUACGGAUUGGCUCGCGUGACAUUAGCUAGAUGGUAAGGUAACGGCUUACCAUGGCUACGAUGUCUAGGGGUUCUGAGAGGAAGAUCCCCCACACUGGAACUGAGACACGGUCCAGACUCCUACGGGAGGCAGCAGUGAGGAAUAUUGGACAAUGGAUGGAAAUCUGAUCCAGCCAUGCCGCGUGCAGGAAGACGGCCCUAUGGGUUGUAAACUGCUUUUAUAUGGGAGCAAUAAGGCCUACGUGUAGGUUGAUGAGAGUACCAUAUGAAUAAGCACCGGCUAACUCCGUGCCUGCAGCCGCGGUAAUACGGAGGGUGCAAGCGUUAUCCGGAUUUAUUGGGUUUAAAGGGUGCGUAGGCGGUUUGAUAAGUCAGCGGUGAAAUAUUUCAGCUUAACUGGAAGGGUGCCGUUGAUACUGUCAGGCUUGAAUUUAGUUGCUGUGGGUGGAAUGUGUGGUGUAGCGGUGAAAUGCAUAGAUAUCACACAGAAUAUCGAUUGCGAAGGCAGCUCACAAAGCUAACAUUGACGCUGAUGCACGAAAGUGUGGGGAUCAAACAGGAUUGGAUACCCUGGUAGCCCACACUGUAAACGAUGAUAACUCGCUGUCGGCGAUACAUAGUCGGUGGCCAAGCGAAAGCGAUAAGUUAUCCACCUGGGGAGUACGACCGCAAGGUUGAAACUCAAAGGAACUGACGGGGGCCCGCACAAGCGGAGGAGCAUGUGGUUUAAUUCGAUGAUACGCGAGGAACCUUACCUGGGCUUGAACGUAUGGUGCAUUAUGGAGAAAUUCAUGUUUCUAGCAAUAGACUUCAUACGAGGUGCUGCAUGGCUGUCGUCAGCUCGUGCCGUGAGGUGUUAGGUUAAGUCCUGCAACGAGCGCAACCCCUGUUUUUAGUUGCCAGCAUGUCAUGAUGGGGACUCUAGAGAGACUGCCUGCGCAAGCAGCGAGGAAGGUGGGGAUGACGUCAAGUCAGCACGGCCCUUACGCCCAGGGCUACACACGUGCUACAAUGGCCGGUACAGAGGGCAGCGACCAUGUGAAUGGGAGCGAAUNNNCNAAGCCGGUCUCAGUUCGGAUCGGAGUCUGCAACUCGACUCCGUGAAGUUGGAUUCGCUAGUAAUCGCGCAUCAGCCAUGGCGCGGUGAAUACGUUCCCGGGCCUUGACACACCGCCC
rnacentral:rRNA from 1 species